AAUGGAAAUCAAAACUCAUCAGCAGCUUCACAUUUUCUUCCUUCCAUUUAUGGGUCAAGGGCACACUUUACCCCUCAUAGAUAUAGCAAAACUCUUUGCUUCACGUGGAGAAAAAUCCUCCAUAAUAACCACCCCAGCCAAUGCACCACUCUUCACCAAAGCAAUCCAAACAAGUAGAAGUUCGGGUUUGGAAAUUGAAAUUCUUCUCAUCAAAUUCCCAUCUUCCGAAGUAGGGUUGCCUGAAGGAAUUGAAAGUUCUAACGACUGGGGUAAAACCGCAGAGAUAGCAGAAAAGUUCUUCAAAGCUCUAACACUACUUAAACAUCAGGUAGAGCAGCUUCUACAUCAAUAUCAUCCUCACUGUCUUGUUGCAAGCUCUUUGUUUCAUUGGUCUACGGAUCUUGCUGCCAAGUUUGGGAUUCCGAGGCUCAUAUUUCAAGGACCUGGUUUCUUCUCCUUGUGUGCUGCAAUGAGUGUUACGUUGUACCAACCUCACAUGAAGGUUGCAUCUGAUUCAGAAUCUUUUAUUGUUCCUAAUCUCCCACAUGAGAUCAAGAUGACAAGAAACGAACUACCAUCUUUUUUAAAACAAGAGGGUGAGACAGAGCUCAUGAAGUUGCUCAGAGAGUGUAGAGAGACUGAGAAAAGGAGCUAUGGGAUUAUCAUCAACAGCUUCUAUGAACUUGAACCAGAUUAUGCAGAUCACUAUAGGAUGGCGUUCGGGAGGAGGUCAUGGCAUAUCGGCCCGGUUUCGUUAUGCAACACGGCAGAAAACGAUAAAUUAGCGAGGGGAAGGGAAGGCUCAGUUGAUGAAGUACAUGAGUGCUUGCAGUGGCUUAAUUCUAAGAAACCCAGUUCGGUUGUUUAUGUAUGCUUUGGAAGCCUGAAUACUUUCAGUGAUAGUGUGCUCUUAGAAAUCGCAUUGGGACUUGAGGCUUCACAACAGCAAUUCAUUUGGGUUGUCAAGAAGGAAAACAAUAAUCAAGAAGAGUGGUUGCCUAAAGGAUUUGAGCAGAGAAUGGAUGGCAAGGGACUUAUUAUAAGAGGUUGGGCUCCUCAGCUAUUGAUUCUUCAACAUGAAGCAGUUGGGGCCUUUCUGACUCAUUGUGGGUGGAACUCAAUCCUUGAGGGAGUGACUGCUGGGGUGCCAAUGAUCACCUGGCCGCUGUUUGCAGACCAGUUUUACAACGAGAAGUUGGUGACUCAGAUACUUGGU
rnacentral:lncRNA from 1 species